UACGUAGGGACCAAGCGUUGUUCGGAUUUACUGGGCGUAAAGGGCGCGUAGGCGGCGAAUCAAGUCAGCUGUGAAAUCUCCGAGCUUAACUCGGAACGGUCAGCUGAUACUGUUUUGCUAGAGGACUGGAGAGGAGACUGGAAUUCACGGUGUAGCAGUGAAAUGCGUAGAUAUCGUGAGGAAGACCAGUGGCGAAGGCGGGUCUCUGGCCCGGUACUGACGCUGAGGCGCGAAAGCGUGGGGAGCAAACAGG
rnacentral:rRNA from 1 species